rnacentral:rRNA from 1 species
UGGCGGCAUGCCUUACACAUGCAAGUCGAACGGUAGGAGGGGGCAACCCUUGAGAGUGGCGAAGGUGAGUAAUAUAUCGGAACGUGCCCAGGUCGUGGGGGAUAACGUAGCGAAAGUUACGCUAAUACCGCAUACGAUCUAAGGAUGAAAGCGGGGGAUCGCAAGACCUCGCGCGAUUGGAGCGGCCGAUAUCAGAUUAGGUAGUUGGUGAGGUAAAGGCUCACCAAGCCAACGAUCUGUAGCUGGUCUGAGAGGACGACCAGCCACACUGGAACUGAGACACGGUCCAGACUCCUACGGGAGGCAGCAGUGGGGAAUUUUGGACAAUGGACGCAAGUCUGAUCCAGCCAUUCCGCGUGCAGGAUGAAGGCCCUCGGGUUGUAAACUGCUUUUGUACGGAACGAAAAGGUUUCUAUUAAUACUAGGAGCUCAUGACGGUACCGUAAGAAUAAGCACCGGCUAACUACGUG